rnacentral:rRNA from 1 species
AGCGAACGCUGGCGGCAGGCCUAACACAUGCAAGUCGAACGAACCCUUCGGGGUUAGUGGCGGACGGGUGAGUAACACGUGGGGACGUGCCUUUAGGUUCGGAAUAACUCAGGGAAACUUGUGCUAAUACCGAAAGCGCCCUUCGGGGGAAAGAUUUAUCGCCUUUAGAGCGGCCCGCGUCUGAUUAGCUAGUUGGUGAGGUAAUGGCUCACCAAGGCUACGAUCAGUAGCUGGUCUGAGAGGAUGACCAGCCACAUUGGGACUGAGACACGGCCCAAACUCCUACGGGAGGCAGCAGUGGGGAAUCUUGCGCAAUGGGCGAAAGCCUGACGCAGCCAUGCCGCGUGGAUGAUGAAGGUCUUAGGAUUGUAAAAUCCUUUCACCGGUGAAGAUAAUGACUGUAGCCGGAGAAGAAGCCCCGGCUAACUUCGUGCCAGCCGCCGCCGUAAUAC